AAGUCGUAACAAGGUUUCCGUAGGUGAACCUGCGGAAGGAUCAUUCACUUUUGAUGAAAAACAAAUAAGAGUCGUAAAAAAGCUUUUGUUUGUUUAUACAUCCAACAAAAUUUUAACCUAAACCUAACUGCGCCGUGUUACAACCAAAUCCUGCGAAAACAUAUUUACCUUCGGGUUCAUUUUCUGGAAUGUAGUGGGUAGGGGUUGUCUAAAAUUUAUUUUAGCUGGCCUCUGUCUGGGCCCUGCUGUUGACCUGGUUUCAACUCGGCGGGGAAUCCUUACAUCUCUGUGUCUACUCUUUUUAACCUUGUUGGCUUGAGAAAUUGGGCUAACGUAUUGAAACAAUAUAUAUAAAUAUACAACUCUUUGCAAUGGAUAUCUUGGUUCUC
rnacentral:misc_RNA from 1 species